ensembl:lncRNA
AAAGAGAGAAGGAAAGUGUUGGUCCCAUGUUUCAUGAGCUGAAAUAAAGAUCCCAGAAAUUGUCCAUCUGCACAAAAAGCUUAUUUCCCUUAAAUUUUGUGCACCAAUUUGUUUAUAGUCCUGCUAGUGAGCAUUUCUUCUUUGACAAGAUAAUCCAUCCACCUGACAGGUGUGGCAUAUCAAGAAGCUGAUUAAACAGCACUAAAUCAGCAUUAGAUCAUUAAACAGGUGCAGCUUGUGCUGGGGACAAUAAAAUGCCACUCUAAACCAGAGCUCUUGCCAGAGAAUUGAAUGUUCAUUUCUCUACCAUAAGCCACCGUCAACGUCGUUUUAGAGAAUUUGUCAGAAUGUCCACUCGGCCUCACAACCGCAGACCGUGUGUAACCACGCCAGCCCAGGAUUUCCACAUCCGGCUUCUUCACCUGCGGGAUCGUCUGAGACCAGCCACCCAGGCAGCUGAUAAAACUGAGGAGUAUUUAUGUCUGUAAUAAAGCCCUUUUGUGAGGAAAAACUCAAUAUUUUUGUCUGGGCCUUGCUCCCCAGUGGGUGGGCCUAUGCUCUUCUAAGCCCACCCAUGGCUGUGCCCCUGCCCAGUCAUGUGAAAUCCAUAGAUUAGGGCCUAACGAAUUCAUUUCAAUUGACCGAUUUCCUUAUAUGAACUGUAACUCAGUAAAAUCGUUGAAAUUGUUGCAUGUUGCGUUUAUAUAUAUAUAUAUAUUUUUUGUGUUCAGUACAGAAAGACAAAGUAUAGUAAUCAGAAGUCACUUAUUAAACAACUUAUUAAAGCUACUUAGACGUUUUAUCAAUUGACUAUGAUUAUAUGAUAUGGACUUGAUCAUCUACUCUGCUUUCCCUUUUUUUGUCAACUAAGCAUGAUUCGCAUCUAUUACUAAACACUGUACAGCUACAGGGACUUUUCAGAACAAUGAAACAUUGAUAUUGAAGCGAAUAGAGGCAUUAUCCCUCUGUUACGUGUAUAAAUGUUCGUAGUUGAACUACUGAAGUUAUUAGAAUAUUGCAUUUUAGUUUAACAUGUUUGAGAGUUAAACACUUUGUGCUAUUCUUUUAUUAUGUAAAGUUUGGAAUGCCAUCUCUGUAUCUGAUCUGUUCACACUAGUAGUUCAAAGUCACACAAUCAUUUGGCAGCAUCCAUUAUACCCAGCCUCCUUACAAUCAAGACUGAGUUAGCCAAAUAUCUAGCUUGGUUGCCUGAUCUGAAGGCUUUAGCAAGUCAUCUCUGGCUGCUGUGGCACGGUAACAAACAAGGGAUUGGCUAAAGCACAAUCACCUCUGGUAACCAGGUUGCAAAACAACUGAGGCUGUCAUGGUAACAAACAAGGGAUUGGCUAAAGCACAAUCACAUCUGGUAACCAGGCUGCAAAACAGAGGCUGGCCAUAUUUAUGAUGCUUCCCUUUGAUAACCCCCCCUACAAUUUUAUAAAUAUAUAUAUAUUAAUUUAUCAUAAGCACAGCGAAUAAUGUUUUGGGCUCUUUACUGUAGAAGGCAUGUAAAUAUGAAUGUAAUGUCAUGCUGCUAGUAUUUCUGCUGAGGCCCUGAAGCUAAUGACAUACUGUGGUUUAAAUAUAUCUUCUCUGCCUUGACAGUAUUGUCUCUGCAUCAAAAUGGUGGGAUAUGUGUUUUUGUUUUUAGUCCGCAGUCAGCUAUAGAGCUCAGAUCUUUUUGAGAGAAAUCAAUAGCACCAAGAUGGUUCACAUCUCUCAUAGCGUACACUGUGCUUAGCCGAGGAGUGUUAGAAACGCUUAAAUCCGUAAAUACAAGCUAAAACUCUGUGUGUGUGUGUGUGUGUGUGUGUGUGUGUGUGUGUGAAAUCAUCCCAAAGCAUAGUCAAAUCUUAUAUGGUAGUGAUAAGCUACUAAACACAGGGGGUUGGUAGCACCUUAAUUGGGGAGGACGGACUCAUAGUAAUGGCCUGAAAAGAAGAAAUGGAACAUCAAAAAACACCUGGUUUCCACGUGUUUGACCCCAUUCCAUUUAAUCCAUUCCAGACAUUAUGAGCCGCCCUCCCCUCUGCAAUCUCCUGUGGUACUAAACUAACGUUUUAGUGGAGGGAUGGAUGGGAUUGGAUGGAGGAAUGGCUGGAUGGGAGGAAGAGAGAGUGGGAUGGCUGAUGAGAGGGAGGGAGGAAGGGAUGGAUGGAUGAGAGGGGUGGCUGGAAGGAGAGUGGGAUGGCUGAUGAGAGGGAGGGAGGAAUGGAUGGAUGGAUGGGUGAGAGGGGUGGCUGGAAGGAGAGUGGGAUGGCUGAUGAGAGGGAGGGAGGAAUGGAUGGAUGGGUGAGAGGGGUGGCUGGAAGGAGAGGGAUGGCUGAUGAGAGGGAUGGAGGAAUGAAUGGAUGAGAGGGGUGGCUGGAAGGAGAGUGGGAUGGCUGAUGAGAGGGAGGGAGGAAGGAAUGGA